rnacentral:rRNA from 1 species
CAGUAGCCACGGUAAUACGAAGGGUGCAAGCGUUACUCGGAAUUACUGGGCGUAAAGCGUGCGUAGGUGGUGGUUUAAGUCUGCUGUGAAAGCCCUGGGCUCAACCUGGGAAUUGCAGUGGAUACUGGGCAACUAGAGUAAGGUAGAGGAUAGUGGAAUUUCAGGUGUAGCAGUGAAAUGCGUAGAGAUCGGAAGGAACAUCUGUGGCGAAGGCGACUAUCUGGGCCAUUACUGACACUGAGGCACGAAAGCGUGGGGAGCAAACAGGAUUAGAUACCCGCGUAGUCCCUGUCUCUUAUAC